rnacentral:tRNA from 1 species
GCGUUGGUGGUAAGCAAUUGACCCGGGUUCGAUUCCCGGCCAACGCA